ANACNUGCAGUCGAGCGGACAGAUGGGAGCUUGCUCCCUGAUGUUAGCGGCGGACGGGUGAGUAACACGUGGGUAACCUGCCUGUAAGACUGGGAUAACUCCGGGAAACCGGGGCUAAUACCGGAUGCUUGAUUGAACCGCAUGGUUCAAUUAUAAAAGGUGGCUUNNACNUACCACUUACANNUGGACCC
rnacentral:rRNA from 1 species